GACGAACGCUGGCGGCGGGCCUAACACAUGCAAGUCGAGCGGAGCGGCGGACGGGUGAGUAAUGCCUAGGAAUCUGCCUGGUAGUGGGGGAUAACGUCCGGAAACGGGCGCUAAUACCGCAUACUAUCAGAUGAGCCUAGGUCAGAUUAGCUAGUUGGGGGGGUAAAGGCCUACCAAGGCGACGAUCCGUAACUGGUCUGAGAGGAUGAUCAGUCACACUGGAACUGAGAAACGGUCAAGACUCCAACGGGAGGAAGCAGUGGGGAAUAUUGGACAAGGGGCGAAAGCCGGAUCCAGACAUGCCGCGUGGGUGAAGAAGGUCUUCGGAUGGUAAAGCACUUUAAGUUGGGAGGCGGUACCAACAGAAUAAGCACCGGCUAACUUCGUGCCAGCAGCCGCGGUAAUAC
rnacentral:rRNA from 1 species